CGGACAGCACAGCAGCAUGACACUGCCAACUGCAGCUCCAGUGUGAGCAACGCUUCAGCUCUUGGACAUCAGCCACGAGGUGGAAAAGGACUGGGACCACCAGACUGUUUUAGAACGCAUCAGGGAUGGCUUUGGUGAGCACAUUCCAGACGAUGUCAGCUAUAAGAGAGGACUGGUAAUACAUUGCUGGCAAAGCCAUUGCUGUGAGCUUGGUACAUGGCGGUCCACCACCAAAC